GGUUCUCUAGCAUCUAGCUGGUCUCCGACUCUGGAUCUCUACACUGUUGCUCUGCUGCUAUUGGACUUUACGACUGCGUUCGAUACAGUCGACCACCAAAUCUUAUUGUUUCGACUGGAGAACUGUGUGGGCAUUAAGGGGUUGGCCUUAGCCUGGAUUAGGUCCUAUUUGGAAGGCAGAAGUUUUUCAGUUCAGCAUGACUCGGGUGUCACAGCGUGUGGGAACAAGAGGACGUGCAAAGCGAUGUUUUUGGACGUUGCCCUUUUCCUGAUUCCACACCCACCUCCUCUUCACCAGCUCGCGACAUGUUCUGAAGCAGUGCUGCUUUACUCCAGUCAGGGCCGAUCACCGGUGAAGAUGGGUUGAGCGUGGCAUCCAUGGAUCCACAGCGACAGCCCACAGCGAUGCUGGACAACAUCUCGCUGAGAGUAAAAACAGGAUGACAUCAAGUCCAAAGCAGAAACAGUAAACCCCCCCCCUCGUGCUGUUGCACAAGGCUAACGCAUCGAGAGAAAGAUGAGCCUUGUAGAAUAUUCAGUUCAUAUAUUAGUUUUAUUUUGAUACAGUUUGUAGGUAUACUCAUUUCAGCGUUUUCUCUUUUUUUUAUAAAUGAAAUUAAAUGAUUUUCUGGAAACAAAAAGCCGUCUUGAGGAAAAACCCUGCACGCCUUAAGCACCAUGAUUUUGUGUUGUUUCUAGUAUGUACAAUUACAUAUACUCAUUAUUUUUCCUUACAGUAACUUCUACUGUACAUAAAUACGGUCUGUCAUAAAUAUCCCUCUUUGCAUUUGACUAUGCAUACUAUGUUUUUUUUUUCAUUUCACCAUACACAGGUUUCCUAAACCUGAAGCAUAGGCACUGAAUUUGUCCUCGUUUGAAAAUAAAAAUAAUCAACCUCUAGAUUCUGAUGCACAUGUUCAACCCUUUCCCUUUUCCUGUUGUGGCAAAUGGCCCAACAACCAAGAACAAUGUUUUCAUCUAAAAUAUUUUCAUAGAAAAAGAUGAACAGCUCAUUUGACAGACAUUUCAAGAAUAGGCAAUACAUUCAUUGGAGCAUUAACCCAUGCACAUUACAGCAAAGACAGUUUUCUUCUAGUCCGGCUUAAAGCCUCAAGUUUGCUUCUUUGUUAUAGUACUGUUUUGGUCAACCUUACUGAUCAUAUAAGGGAUAUUCACAGCGCUGACUUUUUGUUGAACAUCUUAAUGGGUUUCUGAGUGCGCCUACACAGUUGCAGUACAGCUGAAAUACAACAAAAGGCAGACAUGGUGCUUUGUUAGUCUGAUAAACAUCGAGUAGGUUUGUUUGUGCAUCAACACUCGAGAACCAUACUCACGGCCUUGAAAGAACAAAUGUUAAAGAAACUGUAUGAAGUAAACUCCUCGUGUGUUUGGUUUGGAUUUUCUGCUCUGACUUGCAGUUGCAAAACUUGUCUUUGGCAAAUGUAAUUCACUGAUAGUCUUACAUUUUUACAUUCUGAUGUAAAAAAGAAAAUAAAAAUAUGUUCAAAGGAG